ensembl:lncRNA
ACCUUUUCCAAGCAGACUGUUUCCAAAAACAACUGUCUUUGGAGACUCUUCUGCAGGUUAACUGGUUUUUUUUGGUGCUCAGAACAUCUUUCAGCCACAGGAAAAGAAUCAGAUCAGUCCACACUGGAGGAUCCCUACAUGCUACAGAGCCUUUUCCCAGAAUACAGGGAAACAUCAGGAAAUAUGAUGGGCAGUGCUGGGCUCUUUUGUUUGAAUGGGAGUGUUGUGAGACACUUUGACCUGGCAAUGCAGUGGCUUUUAGCUAUUGUAUAUUCUGACCAAUAUACUGCUUCUACCAACCAAAGAGUGAGAUGAACUCUGCUGCUGAUUGAAAAGCAAAGGCAGCGAUUCUUUUAAAGAAAAAGCUGAUAAAUAGAAGGAGUUUAAUGAACUCUGUGGUGUACCUUUGGUUUCAGUCAAAGAGCCCUGCAGGAUGGUCCUUAUUAGGUAGUAUGAGCAGCUGUAAUUUCUUGGGUGUGACAUCUUUUUCUGAGAAGAACAAGCAACAGUGGAUGGAUCUACGCAUGGCCCUUUCCAGAGGUCUGCCUCUUGAGGAGCUGUCACCAUCUCUUCUUCCCCACUGACUAUUAAGAGAGAAUAUGUCAAAGAAAUGCCUGUUUUGCAAGUGUCUAAAGUGAUGCAAGGUAAAUCCCGCCUAUAGGGUCUUAAUGGGACCUUGCCAUGUGUCUAAGCCUGGUGGACUUUGUGUGUCUUCAGCUUGACUAUAGGAGAAUAUUUCUCCUUGUAUACCCAGAGGCUUCAUUGAGGUCUCUGGUGGAUGUGUACCUGGAAGACCUGUUCAGUGGAAGCCAUAAACCCAAUAAACGCAGUAAUUCACACAUCAGUAAUUUUUUUUUUCUUUUUUUUUUUGUCUUUUUCGGUAGUGCAUUACCAGCCUACAUAGACAUUGGACAGAACAUCUUUCUUCAGUGUUCUUGUCCUUUGAGUUCUGAUUGUGAUGUCCACGCGGACAGGCCUGGUGGAGCUGAGGGGCCACAAACUUAGGGAAAAGUAUGACAGAUCUUGCCAUCAGAAGUAUCACAGACUUCUUUUUCCCCUGAGAAUGUCCUUCUACUGCUCUUCAUCUUCCAUCAACCUUUGUAGUCUGCAAAAGUUAUUCCACUUAAAAUAAAGUUAUUCUGCCCCACACUUUUUUUUCCCUAUCACUUCGCUGAUCCUGCUUACUGCAUGAUUUCACAAAUAAUCAGAGUAGAGGCAAUGAAAGUGGCGGUCAGGAUUAGGUCUCAGGGCAGCGGCCACAAUUGCUAAGAAAGCCAUGAGCUGAGCCAGGCCAUAAAUCCCUGAACGUUAAAUGAGACAGGUUAAGAGUGAGUGGAGGGUUACCCUUGCCCCAGAAAUUAAGAAGGAUGAUAGUGAAAAAGAGGAGUAUGGUUGCAGUUUUCAGUGACUAGCGGAAACUCUGAAGGAUUGUAACAUGGUGCCUAGCCAAGGAUAGCAGUUGCUCUACAUCAGUAUGUGGUGUCACAUUAAGAGCUGGCUGUUGUGAGCCCUGCGAAGUUCUGGCAUGUCUUCUGCAGAUUCACAGCUAACCUGCCAUCAACAGCAUGAGCACAGUGGGUGAAUGCUGCUCGUGCAAGAAUAAAGAAUAAAUAAGCUCCACCUUAAAUAAGAAACAAUC